GUGAGAAAUUCCUUGAUUAAGAAAUACCAACCUAGGGAUAGGGGGUAGGAUGAUCAAUUGUUUUUGCUUCUGUUUUUAAUGCAUUAUUGAUUGCUAGGGGAGGCUAGGGAUAGCAAGCCGGUAAUUAGUAAUAAGCACUUUUCGCCGUGGGAUCGGGUUAAGGGUAGACCAAGAAAGUUUGCAUAACAAUUAGAUAAUCAAGCACAUUAAACAAGAGGAGUAGAUAAGAGGGAACGGAUAAGAUGAAAUUGUAAACCCCCACCAACUCCAUUCAUCCAUAGUCUUUUUUGUCAAUUGAAUCAAACCCAUUGCAUGUUUAUUUUCUGUCUUUUC
rnacentral:lncRNA from 1 species